rnacentral:tRNA from 1 species
GCCAACCUAGCUCAGCUGGUAGAGCAAUUCAUUCGUAAUGAAUAGGUCGAGGGUUCGAUCCCCUUGGUUGGCU